rnacentral:lncRNA from 1 species
ACAAAGACCCUGCAAUUCUUCUAUCUGUUUUCCAUUGGACAGUAUUGAUCUCCCAAGAUUAAAAUCUUUGUUUUCCGCAAUUGAUUAGUCUUACCAUUUGAUAACUGAUAAUCACUUUUCUUUUCAACAAUUAUUUGUUUUUCUUUCGGCUUAGAGUUAAGCACCGAAAACAGAUGUGUAAUGGAGAUAGGUUAUUUCUUUUACCAAGUUUAUGUGAGAAGAGAAAAAAGCCAGCCAAGUCAUUUUAUCAUGUUUAGCUAGUAAUACAAAAUUGUCAGCAGCCUCUUAGCCGUCAUGUUAGUGUUACAUGUAUGCUGAAAAGGAAAAACAGAAAAUG